rnacentral:rRNA from 1 species
UGGGGAAUAUUGCACAAUGGGCGCAAGCCUGAUGCAGCCAUGCCGCGUGUAUGAAGAAGGCCUUCGGGUUGUAAAGUACUUUCAGCGGGGAGGAAGGGAGUAAAGUUAAUACCUUUGCUCAUUGACGUUACCCGCAGAAGAAGCACCGGCUAACUCCGUGCCAGCAGCCGCGGUAAUACGGAGGGUGCAAGCGUUAAUCGGAAUUACUGGGCGUAAAGCGCACGCAGGCGGUUUGUUAAGUCAAAUGUGAAAUCCCCGGGCUCAACCUGGGAACUGCAUCUGAUACUGGCAAGCUUGAGUCUCGUAGAGGGGGGUAGAAUUCCAGGUGUAGCGGUGAAAUGCGUAGAGAUCUGGAGGAAUACCGGUGGCGAAGGCGGCCCCCUGGACGAAGACUGACGCUCAGGUGCGAAAGCGUGGGGAGCAAACAG